AAUCAACGCUGGCGGCGUGCCUCAGACAUGCAAGUCGAACGAUUAAAGCUCUCUUCGGAGAGUGCAUAGAGUGGCGCACGGGUGAGUAACACGUAAGUAAUCUACCUUCGAGUGGGGAAUAACGUCCGGAAACGGACGCUAAUACCGCAUAAUGCAGCGGCAUCGCAAGAUGACAGUUGUUAAAGGAGCAAUUCGCUUGAAGAGGAGCUUGCGGCAGAUUAGCUAGUUGGUAAGGUAAUGGCUUACCAAGGCUACGAUCUGUAACCGGUCUAAGAGGACGGUCGGUCACACUGACACUGAAUAACGGGUCAGACUCCUACGGAGGCAGCAGUCGGGAAUUUUGGGCAAUGGGCGAAAGCCUGACCCAGCAACGCCGCGUGAAGGAUGAAGUAUUUCGGUAUGUAAACUUCGAAGAAUAGGAAGAAUUAAUGACGGUACUAUUUAUAAGGUCCGGCUAACUACGUGCCAGCA
rnacentral:rRNA from 1 species